ACCUUAGUGGUCCAAUGGCUAAGACUCUGAGCUCCCAACUCCAGAGACCCAGGUUCAAACCCUGGUCAGGGAA
rnacentral:tRNA from 1 species